GAUGAACGCUGGCGGCGUGCCUAAUACAUGCAAGUCGAGCGAACAGACGAGGAGCUUGCUCCUCUGACGUUAGCGGCGGACGGGUGAGUAACACGUGUAUAACCUACCUAUAAGACUGGUAUAACUUCGGGAAACCGGAGCUAAUACCGGAUAAUAUAUUGAUCCGCAUGGUUCAAUAGUGAAAGACGGUUUUGCUGUCACUUAUAGAUGGAUCCGCGCCGCAUUAGCUAGUUGGUAAGGUAACGGCUUACCAAGGCAACGAUGCGUAGCCGACCUGACAGGGUGAUCGGCCACACGGGAACUGAGACACGGUCCAGACUCCUACGGGAGGCAGCAGUAGGGAAUCUUCCGCAAUAGGCGAAAGCCUGACGGAGCAACGCCGAGUGAGUGAUGAAGGUCUUCGGAUCGUAAAACUCGGUUAUUAGGGAAGAACAAAUGUGUAAGUAACUAUGCACGUCUUGACGGUACCUAAUCAGAAAGCCACGGCUAACUACGUG
rnacentral:rRNA from 1 species